rnacentral:rRNA from 1 species
ACGCACGCUGGCGGCGUGCUUAACACAUGCCAGUCGAACGGAAAGGCCCUGCUUGCAGGGUCCUCGAGUGGCGAACGGGUGAGUAACACGUGGGUGAUCUGCCCUGCACUUCGGGAUAAGCUUGGGAAACUGGGUCUAAUACCGGAUAGGAACCAUCUUUAGUGUGGUGGUUGGAAAGUUUUUUCGGUGUAGGAUGAGCUCGCGGCCUAUCAGCUUGUUGGUGGGGUAAUGGCCUACCAAGGCGGCGACGGGUAGCCGGCCUGAGAGGGUGUACGGCCACAUUGGGACUGAGAUACGGCCCAGACUCCUACGGGAGGCAGCAGUGGGGAAUAUUGCACAAUGGGCGCAAGCCUGAUGCAGCGACGCCGCGUGGGGGAUGAAGGCCUUCGGGUUGUAAACUCCUUUCGCUAGGGACGAAGCUUUGUUGUGACGGUACCUAGAUAAGAAGCACCGGCUAACUACGUG